rnacentral:lncRNA from 1 species
AUGGAUGAAGUAUACACAAUCUCGUCUACCGAGAAGGUCCAGCAGCUGGAAAGAGAACUAGCAGCACAGCUAGCAGAGCUGAAGGCAGAAAUAGAAGACUAUGGGGUGCUCCCGGGAACACCGAGUAGGGCAUACAGUUCUGUUCCAAUUCCAAAGGAUGCAUCUUAUUUCAGAAAAGAAAGGGAGAUAAUACUGAAGAAAGGCUUACAGGUGACAGAGGCAAAACCUCUUGUUAUUCAGGCUGAUGUCAUGCAGAGGGAGUUAGAGAGCUGCUUGAGGAGGGAGUAUACAGCAGCAAACUUGCCCCUGCUGCUGCACCAGUUUUUUACAGACAGAAUUACUCGGCUAGUCCAGUGUAAAUAUUUGCACAUGCCUAGAUGGAAGAGAUUUUGUACGCACAGCAAUGUUAUUGAACAACUUUAUCCUCUCUAUCAGGUAGGAACCAAAAACUAGGAUCUAGCACAUACAUAUUUAGCACAGUAUCCAUUCAUUAAAAAACAAAAUGUUAGUAUUGGCUUUUUUCCAGCCAAAUAAAGCUACUAACGUUAAGGAUAAUUUAUAAAAC